AAACAAAUGAAAAAAGAUGAUUAGCUUCUCGAGGGUUUUGUUCCAGUUGCCUUUAUUCAUUCCAAUCAGAUUCUUUGAUAACAGCCUUAUUGCCCAAAUUUGUUUAGUUUGCAAAUUUAUAAUUGGAAAUGAAUUAAAACUCCUAUACGGAUUCUGGGACCCUCACGCUUUAUCCUUUAAAUUGCCCUACAAAUUCUGUGGGAGAGUGUAAAAAGCAUAAAUCUACAGGAAUUAAAACAGAGGAGUUAAACUUCAAUUUUCCUCUCGUUAUUCCUAAUCCGAACAAACUCCUCAAUUCUCUUGUUUUCACAAAAAUAUUAUGGUUCUAUACAUCCAUAGGGCAUUUGCCUUGUUCAUUUGUGUAGGAUUAUUAGUAUUUCAUGCACAUGAAGUUUGCAGCUCGAGAAGUGCAGACCUCGCUCUUAGACAAAGUGGAGAAGAUCAUCGACUAACGGUAAAGAAUCAGCAUACACUAGACACAGAUAAGAAACCAGCACCUGUAAACAAGACGUUUGAUCCAAACAGGUCGAGCAAAAGAAGAGUUCGACGAGGAUCAGAUCCUAUCCAUAAUAAGACAUGAUAAAAGCCGGCUAUCCUAAUCAGAUGAGUAAUGCAAUCGAAAUUCAGAGAUAGACACAGCUAGGUAUAAUAAAGACCUAGGCUGCUGGCAUUCUAAGCGGCUUGUUUCAUGAGUUUCCCUUCCGUUUUGGAGGUUUUGACUGAAAGCUCCGUGCAUAUUUGGUACGCAGUAUUGGACAUGAUCAAUCAGUACGUUUUCUUUAUUUACAAUAUCGAGUACUAUCCAAUCCUCCUACCAAAUAUGCUAUAAUAUGGAUAGUAGUAGAACAGUUACGAGUCACUUUCGAAAACUGUCAGAGCAAGAAUGUUCCUCCAUAUAUACAGAUCAGAGGAAGUACAAGGAAAUGGUGUAGCCAUGGAUUCAUUAUUUUUUCUUGGUUAGUCGCAAAUGUAACAGUAUUUUAUAUUCACUCUCAUUCUAAUUGAGUCUCUUCAACAUUUAAAAUUUGAUGCCUUCAAUUGUGUGGAGAUAUUCUUUACUUUCCUUCGAGCAAAGAAGGCUUUGCAAACUCGUGAACUGAGGGCACGUUUCCACGUUCAGUACAUCGAGCUACACAUGAGAUUGGACUGACUUAAAGAGCGACAAAAUCUAUCGAUUGUCUAAUCCAAUCGGUAGCGUCAAAACAAGUGUGUUCCUUUGUUCACUAGUAAAGGAUAUUCCU
rnacentral:lncRNA from 1 species